rnacentral:lncRNA from 1 species
ACCAAUGCAUCCUCAGAGCUCCGAGGGAAAAGCAACGACGAUGGCUGGCAGCUGAGGGAGAGACCAGCAUCCCCAGAACUCCCUUUUGGUCCUUGUCCAGACUUCAAGGUCUCCAUGGACCACUUUGAGCCAUAUACGUCUGCCAGUCAGUGGCCUCUGCACCCACGUCAGAAGCAGCAGAAAUCCAAAGAGCCCUUGGCCUCUGGAGGCGGCAGCAGGAGUGCUCUCCGAAAAGAGACUGGGCCAGCCGGUGGGAGCCCAGCGCCCACCCACCGCUCAUCCUACAGCAGGACCAACCCCCCGCCAACCCCCAGCCUCCGGAUCCUCUCUCCAGGCCUUGGAGGAGGCUGCAGACCGUCAGAAGAGAGCUGGAGAGUAUCAUACAGAGGCUGGGAGCAGUGAGAGGCAACAGGAGAAAAGCUGUGUGUGUGUCCCUGGUCCCAGGUGCCAGAAG